ensembl:lncRNA novel transcript
AUGAAACCAGGGGCCUUGUCAUGAUCAUCAUGUAGAAUCGUACUAGGAAACUAAUUCAAACUCAAUAAACAUUUGUUGAAUAAAUACAAGAAUGAACAGCACACAGCAGCUGCAGGAGGACAGGGAAUGCUUUGGAUUUGAGAGCUGGGCUGAUAACAGACAUUUAUAGACAGUAGCAAUAGGACCCUUUUUGCUGUUUAUCCAUCAACCCUCAAAUCCCAAGUAGAGUACUGGACUUCCCACAGUUAAUGGGGAAGGAGCUCAAGCAGUUCCAUUUGGACAUGAACAGAAAAGGCCCCCAAAAGACCACAUAACUCAGGGGCAAUCAGUUUCCAUCAUUUUUUUAUAGUUAUCUUUCAUAUUAGAUUUUUUCAGGUAAAAUUUACAUAUAGUAAGUGAAAGGCAAAUAUCCUAAGUGUACUUGAUGCGUUUUGACAGUAUUCUCUCAUGUUACCAACAUAUAAACAAAAUAUAGAACAUUUCCAUCACCCAAGUAAGUUCCCUUUGUGCCCCUCUUCCAGUCAAUGCCCAACACCUUUCUCACAGACAACACGUUUUCUUAUGUCAUUCACCAUAGAUUCAUUUAACCUGUCACAAAUGUCAUAUAAAUAAAGUCAAUAGCGCACACUUUUUGUUUGGCUUCUUUUGUGCAACGAAUGUUUUUGAGAUGCUUUCAUGUUGAUAUAUGAAUUCGUGUUUUAUCUGUCUUUAUUGCUGAGAAGUGCAGUUGUUGAUGGAUAUUUGGGUAUUUGCUUUUGUCCAUUAUGAAUAACUUCUGUAAACAUUCUUGUACAAGUCUUUUGUUUAAAUAUAUUUUCACUACUCUUGAGUAAACACAGAUAAAUGGAUUCGUAUUAUACAUAUUUAAAUUCAUAAGAAUCUACCAAAUGGUUUUGCAAAGUGGUUAUAGCAUUUUACGCUUCCAUUGGUCAUAGAUGACGGUUCUAGUUGCUCUGCACCUUUGUCAACAUUUGGGUCUGUCAGUCUUUAUAAUUUUAAGUUUUUUAUACACCUUGACUUUACUGACAAGCCUUUAAAUUUUAGAGAUUCUAGUGUGUAUGAAGUCAUAUCUCAUUGUGGUUUGAAUUUGUAUUUUCCUAAUGUCUAAUGAUGUUUAGCACAUUUUCAUGAGCUUAUUGGCUAUUCCUAUAUCUUCUGUUGAGAAGCUUCAAUUAAAGCCAUUUGCCCAUGUUUGAUAGAA